AUGCGUGAGGCUGAUCACUGUCUAAUGGCUGAGGAAGAGAGAGGCAGCUCCCCACAGCAGCACAGAGGGAAGGUGGGGGGUGAGAAAAGCUCAGAGCAUUUGGAGAAGAAAUGCAAUUCUUCAAAGCUGUCUGUCAAACCUGGGAAAUUAUUUUGGAGCGGAGGGCUCCCGGCCACCAUUGCAGCACCUGGAGUUCAGAGGAGCCUUUUGUGCAGAGCUACAAAACAUCCACUCACCUGGAUUGGUAGGGUUUGUGUUUUGGAAGCCAAGAUAAAGAGAGUGUGGGAUUUUGUCUCUCCUGGAUGGCUACAGGAAGAGCCCUGAUUAAUUACUACUUAGUGUAACGCAAGAUGAAAGACAAGGACUCCAUGUAGUGAGGCAAAUAGUGCUUUUAUCGUUACAUGCUGAAGGCAAGAAAUUCAAGGCAGAUGGUAUCACAACGCACUGGAACUAUGCGCUUCUUGAAAAAUUGCAUCAAAACCUGCAAUUUAGAUUAUGAAGUACUCUGCCUUUCAGCAUGCAACACUUGCCAGUGAUUACAAAAAGUCUUAAACAUUCUCACUAUUAUACUUGACUACGAUGUGAUGAUUCAAUUUAGAUUACUGUGUUUAGAUUGCAGGGACUCUCAGAUUACAACUUGAGCUACAGAGACUGAAAAAUGUUUAGCCAGCUAUAGAGUUGGAAAGAUGUAGGCGUUAUUCCCGCCAGGCGUUUAGUGGUGAUUUCCACGCUGUAGCCUGCACGGCUACGUGGUGCCCUGUUGCCAUUACUGUGUGCUUAAUUAGCAGUUUGAUGGUACAGAUGAGUGGUGAGAAAUUGUGGCAGGCUGCCAGUGGGCAAAGGGGUUUCAAAACCACUUUUUUAACAAACCUGGGUCCAUACCAGCACGGCCCCAUGUAGGAGGUAAGGGCUGUGAUCGGGGGCCUGCAGUGAUGCUCUCUGUGUCUCGGCAGAGAGGAUUUCUCUUGUCUGGACCAGUUUCAGGAGACGGGUUUGUAGCAUCCCCUCCAGAUCCCAUCCUGCACGCUUCAAGCAGCGCUGAACGCCCUUAGGUAUUUCUCUGAAUCCCUUUUGAGGAACAGAGAUGUUUUGCUCUGAUCUUUGCAUACGCAGUCGGUUUCUCAUUGCUGGGUUGCUAAUCCUCAGCUUCUGCUAAACAAGAUCUGAGAGGAACUUUUAACUUCCAGCCUUGCUGUCUCCCAAAGCAUCAUGUAACAGUGCACUGGAUACACCAGUUUCUGGAUUUAACUUGGCACUUGCUUUGACAUGAAAUUAAUUCUAUAACAGGAUAGGGGGUGAAUUUUAAAUGCAACAGCUACAUUUA
rnacentral:lncRNA from 1 species